rnacentral:rRNA from 1 species
UACGUAGGGUGCGAGCGUUAAUCGGAAUUACUGGGCGUAAAGCGUGCGCAGGCGGCUUCGCAAGUCAGACGUGAAAUCCCCGGGCUUAACCUGGGAAUGGCGUUUGAAACUACGGAGCUGGAGUAUGGCAGAGGGGGGUGGAAUUCCACGUGUAGCGGUGAAAUGCGUGGAUAUGUGGAGGAACACCGAUGGCGAAGGCAGCCCCCUGGGCCAAUACUGACGCUCAUGCACGAAAGCGUGGGGAGCAAACAGG